CUUUACCUACGGGGGGCAGCAGUGGGGAAUAUUGCACAAUGGGGGAAACCCUGAUGCAGCGACGCCGCGUGAGCGAUGAAGUAUCUCGGUAUGUAAAGCUCUAUCAGCAGGGAAGAAAGUGACAGUACCUGACUAAGAAGCCCCGGCUAACUACGUGCCAGCAGCCGCGGUAAUACGUAGGGGGCAAGCGUUAUCCGGAUUUACUGGGUGUAAAGGGGGCGCAGACGGCGAUGCAAGCCAGGAGUGAAAGCCCGGGGCCCAACCCCGGGACUGCUCUUGGAACUGCGUGGCUGGAGUGCAGGAGG
rnacentral:rRNA from 1 species